rnacentral:tRNA from 1 species
GGUGGUACAGUGGUUGAGCGUUAGGCUGCUAACCUAAAGGUCGUCAGUUUGAAUCUAACACCU